GACGAACCGUGCGAACGUUAUUCGGAAUCACUGGGCUUAAAGGGUGCGUAGGCGGCCCGUUAAGUCAGUGGUGAAAGCCUCCAGCUCAACUGGAGAACUGCCAUUGAUACUGACGGGCUUGAGUACAGACGAGGUUGGCGGAAUUGAUUGUGUAGCGGUGAAAUGCAUAGAUACAAUCAAGAACUCCGAUUGCGUAGGCAGCUAACUAGGCUGUAACUGACGCUGAGGCACGAAAGCGUGGGGAGCGAACAGG
rnacentral:rRNA from 1 species